CUUUUUUUUUUUUUUUUUUUUUUUUGAGGAAGAUUAGCCCUGAGCUAACCGCUGCACCACUGGGCCGGCCCCAAACAUUUCCUUUCUUGAAAACUUUUUUCCCUAAAGAUAGUUACCUCAUUUUUUCAUUUGUGUAUUUUUCUUUGUGUCUGUGGAUAAUUACUUUCAAAUCCUUAAACAGCCUCACAGUGUGAUUAUUCACCUGGUCCAAACCUAUCAAGUUAAUUUUUUCAGGACAGUCUUCCUGACACCCGUCAUCCUUCUGCUUCAGGCUGUUUAGACCUGCCCCCCAGCUGGUGCCUUGGGAAUUUCAUUCGCCCCUGUCCUCUGUGUGGGAUUCUCUCUGUUUGCUGGGAAAUGUCUUCCUUUUUCUUGCUUUUCUUCUUUAUAUGGUGGAGAAUAACCCCUAGGAGCUUCCUGAGAAAGAAUAGAUGGGAGGUAAAAUGUUUGAGUUCUGGCAUGUCUGAAAAUAUUAUUUUACCUGAACCCUUGAGAGAGAGUUUGUCUGGGAAUAGAAUUCUUGCUGAGAAAUAUUUUUCAGAGGUUGGCAAAUCAUUAUCUCCUAGAUUCUCUUGAUAAAUUUAAUGUCAUUCUUUUUCCUGUACGUGACCUGUUUCUCUCUGUAAAAUUUUAGGAUCUUUGUUUCUGAUGUUCUCAAGUUUUUGACUGAUGUACUUGGUGAUCCCUUUCAAUCUGAGAUUCAAAUCCUAAGUCUUAUUUUAUUUUUUUUUUGAAAAGCCCCCCAGCUUUUUUUUUAGGAAAAUUAGCCCUGAGCUAACAUCUGCUGCCAAUCCUCCCCUUUUUGCUGAGGAAGACUGGCCCUGAGCUAACAUCCAUGCCCAUCUUCCUCUACUUUAUACGUGGGACGCCUACCACAGCAUGGCUUGCCAUGAAGUGCCAUGUCCGCACCCGGGAUCCGAACCAGCAAACCCCAGGCCGCCAAAGCGGAACAUGUGCACUUAACCACUGCACCACCGGGCUGGCCCCUUGUAGCUGUUUUAUAUGUAUUCAAUAUUUACUUAAAUUUAUUUGAAAAAAAAUUUUUAAGAAAAUCAGUGCUUUGGAAAACAGUCUAGCAGUUCCUCAAAAGGUUAAACAGCUACCAGAUGACCCAGCAAUCCACCCCUAGGUACAUACUCGAGAAAUAUAAAGAUAACAUCUGUACAAAAGCUUGUACAUGAAUGUUCACAGCAGCGUUAUUUAUAAUCGCCAAAACGUGGAAACAACCCAAAUGUCCAUCAGCCUAUGAGUGGAUAAAUCAAAAGUGUUACAUGCAUACAAUGGAGGAGUAUUUAGCCAUAAAAAGGAAUGCAAUAUUGAUACAUGCUACAACGUGGAUGAAGCUUGAAAAAUAGUAUGCUAAGAGAAAGAAGCCAGUCACAAAAGACCCCGUGUUGUGUGGUUCCAUUUAUGUGAAAUGUCUAGAAUAGGUCAAUAGAUAGAGACAAAAAGUACAUCAGUGGUUGCCUAGAGAUGGGGAGGUUGGGAGGAAAUUGGGAGUGACUGCUAAUGGGUAUGGAGUUUCAUUUUGGGGUGAUGAAAAUGUUCUAAAAUUGAUUAUGGUAAUGGUUGCACAACUCUGUGAGUAUCCUAAAAGCCAUUGAAUUGUGCAGGAUUACAUCCAUAAAUUAUAUCAAUAAAGCUGUUAUUAAAAAAAUCACUAUCAAUUGCCGUAAAUAGAAUGGAGAGUCAAAUGCAAUAUUAUUAAACACUAACUAGCUAUUUAUGUCUGCUUUCUCUGAUUGUAAAAAGAGAGGGUUCAAAAGUGUUAGAGAGCCGACACCAAAUAAAACUUUUCCCUUAAGUUACUCAGGAAUGAAAAAGAUUGAAAAGGGAAUAAUUUUUUCACCUGUGGUUCAGUGUUUCUCCUGACGUGUUUGUGAGCUGCUGUCAAACUGCGCACACCUGCAGUUCCCAUCCGACACUCGGGGCAAACGGAGGCGCAGUCCUUGAAGCCGGAGCACGGCACCGGGAGAAUGGCAUGUGCUCUCUCCAUUUAAGCAAUUCUUAUUAAGUGGCAUAAAACCAUUUCAGAUAUCAAUUUUGUACAUUGUCUGACAACAAACAAGCCUCUAAAACUGAUGUCAAUUCGGUUUAAGUAGUCUCUUAGAAACAGAGGGGAUAGUUUCUGGGAAGAACACUGCAUUGAAGUGGGGACUAGCUGCCUUGUGGUGAAACACUCCACCACAGAGUUCUCAGCGCCCCCAGCCUGUUCGGUUGCCAUUCCCCACUAUUAGACGUUCCUCAGUUCAUUUGUGACCUGUUCUCACCUUCUGAACAUUGUAGCUAGGGCACUGUGAGAGCAAAAGGAAGGGAAAUGAGAAUAGCAAGCCCCUUCUUCCGCACUUCAAUGAUUAAUUUGUGCUAGAUAACUUGCAAGAGUUUCAGCUGACCGUUCUCAAAAACUUCCUCAGUAACAUCAGGUAGAAUUGGAUCCCAAACCACCAGGGUUCCUAUUAGGAACGAAGGAGACUAUUAGGGAACAAAAAAGAUUGAUUGAUUCCAUGAGAAACAGUAGGACUUGAGGUUGGGACUCUUGCUGUGUGAUAAAAGGUUCUAUUCCUGCUGCAAUAAGUCUAAAUUGUGUUAAGUGUUGCAACACUUAAUUAAAAGGGCGGUCUUUUAAUUACUAGGGUAAAAAGGUGGAGGUGGCUAGGUGUGUUGAAAACAACUUUAAAUAUUGUCCUGGCAUCUGUCUGUCAAAACAGAGACACCACAAAAAGGGCAGGAAACAAGAGACAGCUUUCAUUUGACCAAAUGUGUGUAUUGGUAGAAUUACGUCUACUGUUCAGCAGACAACUGCCAUCUUAUAUGGAGCAUCCAGUGUGUGCCAAGCAUGUAGUGGGCAUUCUGUAUGAACAAGUUAGUAAAUGAAUGAAUGCAAGAAAAUUCUUUCCUGGCCACUAUAAAGAGAGAGCAAGCACUCCAAAGCAUUUGCUUCUAAGGAAUUCCAACCCAAAAGAUAGGUCACAUGUAUGUACAUUUAAAAAUUCAUGUAUAGGGGCCGGUCCCGUGGCAGAGUGGUUAAGUUCACAUGCUCUGCUGUGGCGGCCCAGGGUUUCACUGGUUCGGAUCCUGGGUGCGGACAUGGCACCACUCGUAGGGCCAUGCUGGGGCGGCGUCCCGUGUCCCAUGUGCUGUGAUUGGAAGGACCCACAACUAAGGUAUACAACCAUGUACUGGGGGGGUUGGGGGAGAAAAGGCAGAAAGAAAAGAAAAGAGAAGAUUGGCAACAGUUGUUAGCUCAGGUGCCAAUCUUUGAAAAAAAUUUCAUGUAUAAAUAAUUGUCAUAGAGAAACAAGGCCUAUGCAACAUGUGUAUUUAUCUCCACUUCCUCCCAAGACUCAGCCAAAACAAUAGUAGUGUAUAACUCCACAAAGACAAAGAGGACUGGAGAGGGAACAGAAGAACCACGUCAAACAGUUUUCGGAGAUAGAAAGGAAUAGGGGAAGAGGUGACUCAGAGAAGAGGAAGUUGAAACCUAAGUGUUGGCUCUGGCAGUGGUUCUCAAUCUUGGGUACACAUUAAAAUUACCUAGGAGAUAAAGAAACAAAUAUGGACGGCCAACCCCAGUGGCCUAGUGGUUAAGUUCAGCAUGCUCCACUUUGGUGGCCCUGGGUUCAGUUCCCUGGGUACAGACCUACACCAUGCGUUUGUCAGUAGCCAUGCUGUGGCAGCAGCUCACAUACAAAAAGAGGAAGAUUGGCAGCAGAUAUUAAUUCAGGGAAAAUCUUCCUCAGCAUAAAAAGAAAAAAAAAAAAAAGGAGGCCUGGAUCUUACUAGGCAUUAAUAUUUUAAAAAUCAUUCCAGGUGGGGGCUGGCCCCGUGGCUGAGUGGUUAAGUACUCGCGCUCCACUGCAGGCGGCCCAGUGUUUCGUCAGUUCAAAUUCUGGGCACGGACAUGGCACUGCUCAUCAAAUCAUGCUGAGGCAGCGUCCCACAUGCCACAACUAGAAGGACCCACAAUGAAGAAUAUACAGCUAUGUACCAGGGGGCUUUGGAGGGAAAAAGGAAAAAAAUUAAAAAAAAAAUAUCUCUCCAGGUGUAUGGCAGUUCCUCAAAAAAUUAAACAUAGAAUUACCAUAUAACCCAUCAAUUCCACUUCUGGGUAUAUACCCCAAAGAAUUUAAAGUAGGGACACAUAUGGAUGUUUAUAUAGUCAUGUUCAUAGCAGCAUUACUCUCAAUAGCCAAAAGGUGGGAGCAACCCAAGUAUCCAUGGAUGGGUAGAU
ensembl:lncRNA